rnacentral:rRNA from 14 species
GGUUUAGAACGUCGUGAGACAGUUCGGUCCCUAUCUGCCAUGGGCGUAGGAAGUUUGAGAAGAUCUGUCCUUAGUACGAGAGGACCGGGAUGGACGUAUCACUGGUGUUCCGGUUGUCGCGCCAGCGGCACCGCCGGGUAGCCACAUGCGGAAAGGAUAACCGCUGAAAGCAUCUAAGCGGGAAGCCCCCCUCGAAACCAGUAAUCGCUUGAGAACCGUGGGAGACCACCACGUUGAUAGGCCAGGUGUGGAAGCGCAGUAAUGUGUGAAGCUAACUGGUACUAAUUGUUCGAUUGGCUUGAU